UCUGAGUGUGCUCUGAGUAAAACACAAAUAAUACUAAUCAAUAAUAAUAAUCCUCACAAUCUCCAAUUUCUCCUUUUCUCUGUAUACAAUGUCUAGUGUCACCAGAAACAGCCAGCUGACCUCACAAUCUUUAUCUCACUUUUGUUGUCAAAGCAACCAGGACUGUUGCCCUUCGAUCCCAUCCCUAGUCCCUCCACCUGCACUUCCUCUCAUGCCACCGCUGAGGACAAUUCGAUGAACUGAUGCUACUGUGUGGAACAGCUUACCAGGGCCUCAUCUCCUGCAAAGUUAUUUGUAUACUUCUCCACUAUAAGAGCAACCCAAUGCCAGAAGUCUUUUUAGAGAACAAGAAUAUUCCUCUAAUGGUGAUGCCCUGAAGCUCACUGUUUCCCUCAUCAUGAAUUAUUGAAGUCAUGUGGCCUAAAAAAGUGCACACCGGCCCCUAGGAAGUGCACCUGGCGUGUGUCGAUCUGCACUAAAUGUACUGGAAUGAAUGAGUGAAAGGAGGCUGCCUAUGCCCACCUAUUUCAAACAAUUAUAAUGGGGAAGCUUACAGGGAAGAAGUCCUCUUGGAAUGUGGAAAAGAAAUGAGUUUGAGCAUACUAAAUCCAAGUAACGCAACGCUGAUCUCUCUGAGCCACAAGUCAACACAAUAACAAAAGCCCCAAUAAUGUCAGACUUGCUGUCAGGAGACGGGCACAGUGACACGCUGUGCCUGCAUGAGAUGGAUGGGUGGUCUGGAGGAUGUGAUCCUCCUAUAAAAACCAGGGUAUAUAGACACACAUGCUUAUAAAAACUUCUCGGAGGAGGCCUUCCAAGGAAUCUCUGUGCUGCCACCUCCAAUUCCUCCAACUGCAACGGAAGAGCUCUCUAACUUCCCAAACUUUCACGAAGAAAUAGCAAGUACUGGGCUUCCCUGACUUGAGACUCACUUGACCAACCAAAUCAAUCACCAUCCGAGGGCAGCCUCCCCAGCCAAAUGCUGCAUUUCCUUCUAGUCAUUGGCAUGUGGAUGGCCCCACUUCAUAGAUUCUCCAACAUGAAAUUCCGUCAAUUGAAAUGUCAUCAAAAGACAGAAUUUCAGAGUCGAGCUGAGCCCAGUGAGUGGGUUACCAAGGUCAAUGACAAAAUCGUUCACUGCAGCCCAAAUUUACCUGAGAGUUCUUGCAAAGUUCUCACUUAGGUUGACAAUGUGUAGAUCUGCAGAGUUAGGCCAAAGUUAACCUAGGCUUGUGGUAGUAAAAAAUACUAGAGAAAGUCCAAGGACACAGUCUUUCCAACCUGGUCUCCUGAGUCUAAAUGACACGCUGGUGUCAGAAAUGCUUUGGGGAAUUGGUAAAAGGCUAGAUUUCUCUACCUGGACUCUUUCUUCUUCUACACUCUUAUACUAACUGAAUCAAUCCACAUAUUAAAAAUGUAAUAAGUGCCCUAUUUAUGGAUAAUUUUACAGCUAAAACAUAGAAAUAGCAUGGUCAGACUAUUUUAAGAAAGAGCCAAAACACAUAGUAAAUUAAAAUUGAUUUGCAUGAAAUGUUGCAGACAUCCAGAUGAUAUUAAAAAAAGGAAGCAAACUUUGUUUGAACUCUGUA